GUGCCAGCAGCCGCGGUAAUACAGAGGGUGCAAGCGUUGUUCGGAAUUACUGGGCGUAAAGCGCGUGUAGGUGGCAGCGUAAGUCGGAUGUGAAAUCCCUCGGCUUAACCGAGGAAGUGCAUUCGAUACUGCGUUGCUUGAGUGCAGGAGGGGAUGGCGGAAUUCCCGGUGUAGAGGUGAAAUUCGUAGAUAUCGGGAGGAACACCUGUGGCGAAGGCGGCCAUCUGGACUGUGACUGACACUGAGACGCGAAAGCGUGGGUAGCAAACAGGAUUAGAAACCCUUGUAGUCC
rnacentral:rRNA from 1 species